GAAGGGAACAGUUAUUAUGAGAUAUGGCAACAAAAAAAGAAGAAAGAUAAUCAUGGCAUUAAAGAGGGUGAGGAACAUUUGUCUUUGGGUUGGAGUAAAGUGUCUAGGGUUGACUAUAACGAAUUAUUCACCGUUACGAAGAAUGGCGGCGUUUUGACGUACAUUGAUAACCAUCUCGACAUUUAUGACGCAAAAGCUUUAACCUCGAAAAGGCUUGUGGAAUUUAAGGAACAGAUUUUGAAAGUAUUCCUUCACAAGAACACCUUAGUUUCGCUAAAAGUAUUAGGGGAAGAUGAUACGAAGAUAAUGGACUCGAUUGAAACUGAGGAGACAGAAAGCCAUGAUCAGCCUUUGGAGCAGCUGUAGGAGGAUGGCAUACCUGAUUCUGUACUUAUAAACUAAACUGGCCAGAUCCACUGUCUCCAAUGUGUCAAGGGGAAGAAGAUUUGAAGAUAAUGGAGUUGAUUGAACCUGAGGUGACAGAAGCCAUGAUCAGCCUUUUCAACCAGUUGGCGGAGAAUGAAUGAGACCCUGUAUACACUUAUAAACUGGUCAGGUUAUCUUCAUUGAUGUUGACAUUUUCUUAGUGAGUUGCGUCGAGAUUACUGUUUUUCUGUCUUUAUAUCAUUUGUCCAACUUCAUGGGAGUAUUUUUCAUAGUUUCGUACUUUAAACUAUAGUAGUAUUAUAUUGCUUCCCUAA